GGGGAUUUAGCUCAGUGGUAGAGCGCUUGCCUAGGAAGCGCAAGGCCCUGGGUUCGAUCCCCAGCUCUA
rnacentral:tRNA from 1 species